GGGAACGCCGGUAGGUUCCGGGUGCAGGGCGGUGGCCUAGGGGCGGCGGGGAAGAUUUGGGGCCUGCGACCUGCCAGGUGUCCCCAGGCCAUUGUUCAGCUCGCCGCGCGCUCCCGAGUUCCCGAGGGCGCCCCGGGACGCGAGGAGAAAGCAGCCCGACUCAGCCCCGAGAGGUUCGGUGUGCGGGCAGCGGCCAGGGACUUUGCGGGGUAGCGCGGACUCCUGGACUUCCAACAAGGGCCGCUGCGCAGGCGCUGCAAUCACUGCAGGCACUUGUCUGCAUGCCUGGUGGGGCUUGGAGUCUGGGGAGGCUUAUCAGUAAAGCCCAGAGCAUUUGCUAUUUAUUGCUCAAGGGGCACCUUUGUACAGUCUGGCCGUUUGCUUGGCAUGGCCUCUUAGAACUCCUUAUUGUUUAAGAAAUCCGAUCUGGUGAAUAAGAAGUUAGUCUUUCUCUCCCAGUCACUGCCUCCUGGACGAAUAUUUGCCAGCACGGAGGCAGAGAGGACAGAAAACCACAAGCCAUUUGGGGAACUGGGAACAGUUCAGUGUUUCUGGGGUGUGGGGGUGUCAAGGUGGGGGAUGGGGUUGAUGGAAAACAUUUGCAAUUUCUGCUUUACCUCACGAUUCCCAGCUCUGACCUCUGGACCUGUUCUCUCCCACCCCUAACAUAAAUCAUUUUAGUUUCAUUCAGUGUGCGUUUCCUAAUAUUUUUAGGGUCUCAUGGCCAUUUUAGAAUCUGAUAUGGAUCUUCUAGAAAGUGCAGGUGGCCAUAUGCACCAAAAUCAGCCUGGGAUUUGAGUCUCAUGGGUCCCUGAACUUCGACUUAGAGGGGCUGUGCUAAUGCUUGUAUGGCUGCUGUAUGACUUAUGUUGGAACCCCCACCUGCAAAAAGUGACAGGACUGAAGAUACCCAGUCCAGGGGCCCUCCCGUUUCUGCGUUUGCUUGAAUUUUUGGAGAAUGGCCCAUCCUUUGACAGCUCUGAGGCUCCCUGUGGUUGGUGACUUGUCAUGACACAUUUGCUCUUCCACAGCCCUCAUCAAAGCUGAGACAAAUAAUCGGGUGCUUCCAAAGGUUUUUUAAAAGUGGGUAAAAUUCAAUAUAACUGUCAACCUCUGAGCAUGAGAUCCUAAGAAUUUAAUCACUCCUGAUAGGAGAAGUAAACAUAGCACCAGGGUGACAUAACAGUUUCCCUGGGCUCUCCAGAACUCGAGUGUGAAUCAUUCUCUCUGACCUAAUUAAUGCUGUUCACAGGGCCAUGACUGGCUCUGAGUGAGGACUGGGUUUGGGACAGCAACCCCAUGUGUCCUGUGCACCCAUUGUGGGCUCAGACACUAUGCUAGUGCUUUACAUUGGGGAUCCCAUGCAAUUCCCCCAGCACUCCUGGGCAGUUGGUGUUACUGCUUGCAUUUUUUAAAAUUUCCAUUUUUAUUUUAAAUUUAGGGGAUACACGUGCGGGUUUGUUACAAUUGUACAUUGUGUGGUACUGAGGUUUGGGAUUGAUCCUGUCACCCAGAUGGUGAGCAUAGUACCCAAUAGGAAGUUUUUCACCCCUCGCCCCGCUGUCUCCCUCCCACUUUUGAAGUCCCCAGUGUCUAUUGUUUUUAUCUUUAUGUCUAGGUGAACCCGAUAUUUAGCUCUUUUGCUUGUAAGCGAGAACAUGUGGUGUUUGCUUUUCUAUUUCUGCAUUAGUUCGCUUAGGAUAAUGGCAUCCAGCCACAUCCAUCCUGCUGCAAAGGACACGAUUUUAUUCUCUUUUAUGGCUGUGAGUGCUUGCAUUUUACAUCAGACACAGGUGUCCAUUGUCAGCGUCCUCCCCUCAGAAGGGGAGGGUCCAUUGUCAGACCCCUCAGAAGGAGGGGUCACCUUUUCUUUCAGGGUUCAGUAGAACUGGGUGUGGUCUCCAGCUCACUUAUGGUGGAGGCUACAGAUACUGUUGGUUGCCAGCCAAUGUCCAUUUCCUUCUUUGGAAAAAAGAAAGAUAGGAAAGAAGGAAAAGGACAAAAAGGAAGGAAGGAAGGAAGAAAGGGAAAGAGGGAGGGAGGAAGGAAGGAAGGACGGAAGGAAGGAAGGAAAGAAGGAAAGGAGGGAAGGAAGGAAGGAAAGGAGGGAAGGAAGGAGGGAGGGAGGAAAGAGGGAAUGGGGAAGAGAGGAAAGAGAGAGGGAGGGAGGGAAGGAAAGGAGAGAGAAAUACCCACUUGUCUGUAGCAGCAACAUGCCAGCCCCUAGUUAUGGCUCAUGCCCACUUGUAUUUUUCAUACUCUACUUACAACCCAAUAGUGGGUCAUGAAAUUAAUUUAGUUGAUGAUGUGACUAGUACUUCAAAAAUGCAAGGGAAAAUACCAGUGUACAGCACAAAUAGUAAAUAUAAGUUGUGUUUUGUGGAACUUUUUGUUUGCAUUGUUUAUGUUUCAGUUAUGUGUGCUUCUUACUGUGGGUUACAGUUAAAAAAAACAAAACAGCUGUCUAAGUCUUGACAAUCCUUUUCAUAGCUUUUUUUCAGUGAAGCUAGAAGUGGCCAUACGACCUACUUCUGGACGCAGAGAUGGGGGAAGGUGUCCUGGGGGAGGAGAGAUCUGAGGGAUGGUGAAGAUAACUUUUGCUUUUCUGGUAGAAAGAACAGAUGUCUCUCCUGCCUGCCUGUCUCAAAUGAGGACAUGAUGUGUAAUGUCUGGAGCACUGGCAGCCAUGUUGAGAUCAUAAAGCAACAUGUCCGCAUGCUGAGGCUGGCAGAGCAUAAAGAUCAAAGGUGUCUGGAUCCUUCUUAACAUCAUGGAGCUUCUGCACCAACCCUGCACUGCCUACUCCAGACUCCCUACCAUGGAGAAAAAUUAGCCCCUAUUUCUUCAAGGCAGAGGUUGGUAAACCUUUUCUGUACAGGGCUGGAUAGUAAAUAUUUUAGGCUUUGUGGGCUAAAUGGUCCGUGUCACAACUACUCACCACUACUGGGGUAGUUUGAAAGUAGCCAUAGACAAUAUGUAAACCAAAGGACAUGGUUGUGGUUCUCAUAAAACUAUUUUAAAAAAUGGAUGGCAGGGCUAUAGUGUGCCAACCCCUUCCCUAGAUGAUCUUGUCCCCUAAUUGUCUCUCUGACCUCAUCUCCUCCUACUGCCUCUCCUUCUCCCUGCUCUGAUCACACUGUUUCUCCCACACACCCAGCCUGUUCCUGUCAGGGUCAUUCCUUCCCUUGGAGGGCUCUUUCCCCAGAUGUCCACAGCGCUCCCUCCUUCCCCUGCUUCAGGUCUUUAAUCACAAAUCACCUCCUUUUUCAGGUCGUCCCUGGGCCCUCUGUAAAAUGCCCGUCCCUGACCCACGCAUACCACUCUGGCAUGCUGUAUAUUCCAGUCUUUAUCAUGAGCUCCUAGAGGAAGAGACACUAUGUUUCCUUAAAAACUGAUUCUGUCUGGAUUGUCACAGUGUUUAAUCAAUAUCUGAUGUAUGAUUGAUUUUUUUUUUUUCUUUUUGCCAGAUUCAGGUAAGAAAACAAACUCAGGGAGGCUGAGUUCCCCCUCCAAAUGACAUGUGCAGAUAGUGGCAGAGUCCAGGUUUGUGCCUGAUGGCCCAAUGUGGUGGUGUCUGUACCACCCGGGAGUGAGGGAAAAACAACAUCUACCUCUAAUGGAACACACUGGGUCUCAGGGGAGCCAAGGCCACACAGAAGUUCCUGCAAGACUCCUUGCUCCAGGGCGCCGCCCCAGUAAAGGAGGCCUUUGGGAGUCCAUUAAGUGAGCAGGGUGUCCUGUUCGUCUUGGGCAAUUGCAUUCUUUUUGGCCUUCCUACCUCAGAAAGACUUAGGAAAUGCUGUUAUUCUGCAAACAGUUUGGACUGACUUGUAAGAUCCGUAAAAAGACAAAUGGAAACACUCAUGAGCCAGUGUUUUUAUGAAAGAGCCGCAAAGGAUAAAUUUAUGUUUAAUUCGCAAGUAGGGAAGCUCAUAAGAGCCUAAGAGCUUGAUAAAGGCUACUGGGCCCAUCUGUCAGGCAGGCUGCUCUGUGUGGUUUUGGCUUGAGGCAUCUUGGCACCAGGGCACAGCUUCCAAAAGACCGAAAAAUUACCUUCUUCCCUUUGGUGCUCCCAGGGGGAAAUGCCUGGGUACAAUCACAUGUUGUUGAGAUGUCAUUUAGAUUUUUGAGUCCUGAAAAAUAGGUUUAUAUAUCUUGAUGUAAAUGAUAUUAAUAAUGAGAACCAUUUUCAAGCCAUUCUCUUAAGACAGUAAGUGGGAUUUUGAAUUAAUUUCUGAUAGAUCUGAUUGAUUCCUUAAGGCCUUUUAUGGAUGGCUUCAUGUGAUUUUUUCCCCCUUCAUUGUAUCCAACAUUAAAUUAAAAACAAAUGACUUUUAUUUCUCUUUCUUCUUUUUCUUUCUCUUUCUUUCUUUCUUUCUUUCUUUUUCUUUCUUUUUCUCUUUCUUUCUUUUUCUUUCUUUCUCCUCUCUCUCUCCCUUCCUCCCCCUUCUUUCCUUCCUUCCUUUCUUUCUCUCUCUCUCUCCUUCCUUCCUUCCUCUUUCCCUCCCUCCCUCCCUGCUUGCUUGCCUUCCUUCCAUCCCCUUCCUUCCUUCCUUCCUUCCUUUCUCUCUCUCUCUCUCUUUCUUUCUUUCUUUCUCUCUCUCUCUGUCUCUCUUUCUUUCUUUCUUUCUCUCUGUCUCUCUCUCUCUUCUUCUUUUUUGGCAAGUCUUGCGUGCUCUGUCCCCUAGGCUGGAGUGCAGUGACAAUCACAGCUCAUUGCAACCUCGACCUCCUAUGCUCCAGCGAUCCUCCCACCUCAGCCUCUUGAGUAGCUGGAACUAUAGCCAUGGGUCACCACACCUAGCUAAUUUCUAAAUUUUUUGUAGAGACAGGGUCUCUCUAUGUUGCCCAGCUGGUCUCUAACUCCUGGACUCAAAUGAUCCUCCUGCCUCGGCCUCCCAAAGUGCUGGGAAUUCAGGCGUGAGCCCUGAUGCCCUGCCACAAAUGACCUUUUCAAGCAAUUUUUCAAAAAGUCUGUGUGAUUCCAAAUGUGUAUUCUUUAGAAAACAGUUGAUGAUUGUGCGUGCUUGGCAGGAAGAGACCACGUACAGAACGUUUCUUGCUCUGUUUGCUUUGGUGAAAUCCUCGAGCAAUGAGGUUAUCCCAUUGCAUGAUCUUAACGUACAGAAGACUUUGUAUUUACCAUCAAUUUUCAGGUGAAUUCUCAAAAAAUCUGCAUACCACUUAUCUUUCCUUUCUAUGUGAAAUAGUUUUCAUUAACUCCAUUUGUUAGCAUAUAAAUAAUAACUUUAGGUUAAUGUAUUUUACUCUUCAACCCAUACCAGAGGCAGGCUAGAAAUGAUAAUUUAUUCUCCAAAUGCACAUAAAGUUUAAUGAUGUAUGCUGCAUAAGUGCCUUCUUGUUAAACACACACACACAAGUGCACAGAUUUUAUGUAUUAUUUUUCCAUUAUGAUUAUGCUUUAGAAAAGCCUUUGCAUGCCACCCUGCAGAACUAAUAAGUGCCUGAGCACAGAGUUUCCUAGGAUGGGGGGAGCUUGCUUUAAAAGAUGGUAUAGUUAAAAAUUGCUGCUGAAACUUGCUUUUGAGGAAAAAAUAAGUACUUGGCUCAAGCACUUGGUCUCUACUUGGUCUCUGAGAAAAGGGUAAGCUAUCUAACACAUGUCUACUCCAAACACAUCUGUGAGGACAAGGAUGGUCUGAAAGCCCACAUGCAGAGAACAUAACUAGGCCUGGUUUGUUGAUAGCUUUUUCCCUUUGUCCUCACCUCCCUAUCUUCCUGCUACUGGAAAUUAUUUAUCUAUCUAUCUAUCUAUCUAUCUAUCUAUCUAUCCAUCCAUCUAUCUAUCUAGAUAUAGAUAUAGAUUUAUCCAACAGAACAAAGGCUGGAAAAGGACAUCUCUCCACUUUCCUAGGCUGCCCCUGCCUCCCCAGGACUGUGUCACCUCCCCACCCAUCCACACUUCACCACCCUUCUACCUUUGCCUUGGGCUGUUCUCCUGUGGGGCACAGAGAGUGUGGGGCUCCUGGUAAGCUGAUUAUUAUUAAUGGGCGUUGUAACUGCUGUGAGUUGAUAACAUCUUAAAAAUAAGACAAAAAUAAUUACGGUGAUGCAAGACUCCUGAACAAACUGCAUUUUCAAUAUAACUCUAAUUUUAACAUCAGAAAGCAGCUUUAUGUUGGUCAAUAUUUUGAUCAUUUAACAAACAGCAGCACUGUAAAAGGAAAGUAGGCACAAAACAGUUCAGUGUAGGAGGGUUUACAGAAGGACGGCGCUUCUCAAAGGAGAAUGUCUUAAAAAUGGAUUUUCCUCCACAAAGAGCCUGGUGUUGCAGCUUGGGCUCCAGAAUUCUUAUGAAUGGUGAGAUAUAACUGAGAUGCAAAGCUGUGAACUAGUAAGUGAUCAGGACCUUCCCUCAAGCCAGGAUGUGAAACAGCCAAAGGAAGUGGAGACCUCCCAGAUGGAAAAGGAAAGGAACCUUGAGAGGGCACAGCACAUAUGCACAAACAAGGGCGAUCUGUCCAGCUCCUGGACUGCACAUUUUAAAACACACCAUCCUCAGGGUAUUCUGGGAAAACCCACCAGCCAGACAAUGUGGCUACUCCCAUGUCCUGGAGGGAAGCUCUGUCCUGUCUAUCUCUUUUAAGUAUGCAGCUUCCAAGGAAUGUAAAACAUUCCCCAAGGGGGAAGGGCCAAACUGCCCCACAGCUAGCUAGACUUGACCUGUUAACCCUGUGUUUAAAGAUGCUUCAGUUGAGUUGACCUCACCUCCCAGCCUGCCAUCAAAGCCACCUCUGUUCAGCCUCCCGUUUGAUGGGGGCUGCCCAUGCCCAAGCUGCCUUCCCAGUCCUCCUAACUGUGAACUAAGGACUAGUGUUUAAGAAAGGAUAGAGCCAUGUAAUUGCAAAUUGUCUUAAGUUUUGUCUCAUUUGGGGAUCAUCUCUGUCUUUUUACCUUGAAAAUGAAUGCUCUCAAAAUAAUGAAUAAGCUGUCGACCUUACAACUGAGACAGAAUUAGAAUGAUUAGUGUAUUAAUCAGGGUUAUUCCAGAGAAACAGUAUAUAUAUUUACAUAUAUCUCCCAUUGAGGUCAAGAAAGACAUGGGUGUAGCUAGCUAGGUAGUUCACUAUACAGCUAGAUAGAUAGAUUAUAAGGAAUAUUUGGCUCAUGUAAUUGUGGGCUGCCAAGUUCAAAAUCUGCCGGGCUGACCCCAGCAGGCUAGAAAUUCAGGUAAGUUGAUGUUACAGUGUUGAGUCUGAAAUCUGCAGGCCAGCAAGGUGGAAACUGAAUCAGGGUUUCCAUGUUGCAGUCUUGAGGCACAAUCGCUUCUUUUUCAGGGCACUUCAAUCUUUGCUCUUAAAGCCUUUAGUUGAUUGGAUGAAGCCCACCCACAUUACAAAGGGAAGUCUUCAUUACUCAAAGUCUGCUGAUUUAUAUGUAUGUGUCAUCUGAAAAAAUACCUUCACAGCAACAUCGAGACUGAUGUUCGAUCAGACACACAAUAGGCUAACCAAGUGGACACCUAGAAUUAACCAUCACAACCAGUAAGCAUGGAGAGUUUGACCCACAGCUCGUACUCAUGUUUUAUCAGGACAGACUCUGUAGCAGAGUGUGGCCUGAUGCCAGGGCAUUCCAAGGUUCCUUAGCAUGUAACGGUGCCUCUUUUUCCUGGGAUUUCAUCUACCUGUGCAACCUGUGGCAAUUUUUGAGAAAUUUUUGCUGCUCCAUUGGUCUAAUGAGUCGACCUUAGGGAUUGGCAAACAUUUUCUGUAAAGGGCCAGAUAAUGAAUAUUUUCCUAUUUGCAGGCUGCACUAUCUCUCUUGCAACUGCUCAAGCAAAAGCAACCAUAGGCAAUAUGUAAGUGAAUGAGUGUGGCUGUGUUCCAAUAAAACACUAUUUACAAAAAUAAGCAGAGGGCCUGAUUUGGGCCAUAGGUGAAGAAGAGUUUAUAUGGUAUCUCCCUUUGGCAGGGAUAUUUUCUCCCCGCCAAACAUGGUGAAGGGCGUGGAUAAGUGACACUCUGGGCUGGGAUGCUUUUAGUUGUGAGGAGUAAAAAACCCAAACAAUGGGGAUUUUAUGACCUCACGUAAUAAAAAUCCCCAGCAAUGGGUAGCUCCAGACUUGGUUUAUUCAGUGUCUCAAAGUAAUCUUGAAGGACCCAAGUUCGUUCGUUCUUUGCUCAUUGCCAUCUUCAGCAUAUUGGUUUAAUUCUCCUUGAUAUUUGCAAAUGAUUUCUGUGCUUUCCCUCAGACAUGCCGACAUUCAGGGGAAGAAGAGGAAGAGUGUUCCAAUGAGGCUCCGUUUAUUUUUUUAUUUUUUGAGACAGGGUCUCACUCUGUUUCCCAGGCUGGAGUGAGUGGCACGAUCACAACUCACUGCAGCCUUGACCUCCCAGGAUCAGGUGAUCCUCCCACCUCAGCCUCCUAAGUAGUUAGGAUCACAGGUACAUGCCACCACACCUGACUAAUUUUUUGUAGAAACGGGGUCUCACUUUGUUGUCCAGGCUGGUCUCAAACUCCUGGGCUCAGGCAAUCCUCCCGUCUUGGCCUCCCAAAGUGCUGGAUUUACAGGUGUGAGCCAUGGCGCCUCACCUGGGGAUCCUUUUAGUACUGAGGGAAGGAAACCUUUCCCAGAAGCUUCCCAGUCACCUUCCCUUUCUUCCCAUUGGCCACGACUAGGGUGCAGGCACCUUGGGAAGGGUGGACCACUGUGACUAACCCAAUGCAGGACAUGGCUGGCCAAGGGGAGGAAGGUACAUGAGCCAGGACAAUUCAAGCUCCAUCAGAAAACGGGGUCAAUAGUAUCCCCUGGGAGAAGCCGUGCAAUGCCUGCCACAACCCUGCAGAGUCCCAGCAGCUGAGGGGGUCUAUUCCAGGGGCGAGAUCACGGCCUGCAAUGUGUGAGCUGGGUCUCAAGAGGGAGAGAGGGAACAGGCUGGAGAGAUGGAAGUCUGGGAGAGCAGCUCCUCGGGAGAGCACCAUGCAUGAGGAGUGAGGCUUGGGGCAGCUGGGAGAGGACCUAGAGAUGGGGAGAGAGAGAAGGAGUGUGGCCAGGAGCACAGGGGGCCACUCAGGCCAGAGAAGUGGGAACUGAAAAUGCUCUGGUGAAGGGGAGAGCAGCAGCUGGGCCUGAGACCAGAAAAGCCCCCAUGGGCUGCUGGAGGCUCGGGGAGGUGGCAGUGAGCUCUGGGCUCAGGGCACAAGAGGCUUUUGGAGGCUGGGUGCUGGCUGGACUCUGUUUGCCAGCCUUCUCUGUAAGUCCCAGGCAUUAGAGCACAGCAAGCAGGAAUAACAGGAGCCCUGGGCCCUUAGAAGGAAACUGAGGAGAAGCCUGGAUGUCCAUGCUGUGUUCCUGAGUUUUAAGGUGACAUUUUCUUGGCCACUUUUUAUCUGCAUGGUGUUGGGGAGACCCUGCUGAGGCUAGGGUUCUUGUUCUGGUCUUGGAGGUGGCACGGCUGGGGCCUGGAGGGAGAGCUUGGCACAGCUCCCAGGCUCUGCUGGGGCCCAGCUCCGCUCAGGAAUUAUCAGUCACUCAGAGAAAACUCAAAGGGCACUAGGCCUCCAGCAGUCAGCAGCAGUCACAACCAAAGUGGGGAGUGGCUCCAUUUGCCUUCUCCACCUGAGCUAGUGCUCCCCUUUCUCAUGCUUCCUUUAUCCCCCACAUUGAUGAGCCACUUUUUCCUCCUCUUCAUCUGCACUGCCACACCCCACCCCGAACACUUAGCAUCCCAGGUGACUUAGCUGGAGGGAACCUGCUAUGGACUGAAUUGUAUUCCCCUAAAUUUAUAUGUAGAAGCUCUAAUCCCCAGUGUGAUGGCGUUAGGAGGUAGGGCCUUUGCAGGGUGAUUGGAUCAUUUGCAUGGAACCCUCUUGCAUAGGAUUAGUGCUUCUGUAAGCAGAGACAUAAGAGAGAUGACUUCUUUCCUCCACGUGAGACUAUAGCAAACAGGCAGCUCUCUGUGACCCAGGAAGCCAGCCCUCCCUAGAACCUGACCAUGCUGGCACCCUGAUCUUGGACUUCUAGCCUCCCCUCCAGAACUUCGAGGAAUAAAUGUUUGUUGUUUGAGCCACCCAGUGUAUGGUAUUUGUUAUGGCAGCCCAAACUGAGUGAAACAGAACCUUAGGGGUUACCUGGUCAAAACCCCCCUUGUUCAGAUGAUGAGAGGAGAGAGGCCCAGGCCAUCAGGCAGGUGAGGUCUGUGGCCAGCCUCAGACUUUAGUUUCCUGAUGGCAUUAAGAAUCUCUGCUCUGAGCCUGGAAUGAAUACAGGCUCUACCUGUUUUUAGCUGUGUGCAAAUUACCACGCACUGUGGUUUCCCAUCUAUAGAAUGGGGCUGUAAGGGACCUGGCCUCACAGGCUCUGGGGAUUAGAGGAGAUGGAGCAGGCAAAGCACUGAAUCCACUGAGGUCUCAGUGCUCUCAGUGAUUAUCAUCAUUGUUGUUGAUACGCCUGCUUGCCUUAUAUUCUUUUUACUGCACAAACGCCUUGUUACAUAUGGAAAAUAAAUCCACCUGCUUCAGACUCUGAUGGACUUGGCCAUGCUUCCUUUGUCCCAAGAUAGACAAUGAUGUGCAUGAUAAGAUUCCAGCUCUGCUUCCGAAGCUCAACUCAAAUCUACCUUCCCAGACUUCCCUCUGCCUGACUUCCUCUCUCAUAGCAUACUGUUUGUGAUUUUACUGUAGUGCCAUGUCUGCCUCAUGUCAGUCACACAUUUGGCUUGUCUAGAGAGCACACAGCAUGCCAGACUCACUCCUUCAGCCCAGCACCUUGUGUGAUGCCUGGUCCACACAGUAGGUGCUUAGUAAAUGUUUGCUGAGUUAAACCGACUUUUGCCCUUAGCAACCUAUUCUCUAAGUUUAUGCUGGUGCUGUUGGUUUAAAAGAAAGGAACAUGUUUCAAUGUGGAAAGAGGAACUCAAGACUUGGGGCCUGCAAAUACCUCAUCCAGUUUCCUGGAAGCUGGAAACUGAAGCUAUAGUGGGCUGGUGGCAUCCUCACCCCUGGCGGAGCGUGUGCAGCCUCAGGUAGAAGCACCUAUUUAGGGACAAAUGAAUAAUCAAAGGCAUGGCCCAUUUGCUUUACUCUUUAUCUGCUCUUUAAAGGGAAAUUUGAUUUGAAACUCACAGAGUCUUCCAUAUCAAUGAGGUGGUAAACAUCUGCUUGGAUGGGCUUUUGCUCCUGCCCCAGUUAUUCCCAGUACAACCUUCUGUGGUUCUGAUGCUCCCCAUUUCCUCCAGAUCCCUGUCCUGAGACUAUGCAAGCUUUCCAGAAGCUCAUACUGUAAAAAGAAUUGCACAGCAUAUGUUUAGACUCAGUGCUGGAUUUUCCUUGGGCUUGCUCUUAAGUUUGGGCAAAUGCCCCCUGGUAAUGUGCACAGCUGGGCAUCCCUGAGGCUUGGAGCUGGCAGGACCUUUUGGGAUGGCCUUAUCCCUUGGGUUUCAUGUGGGGAAUGACCCAAGACUCCAAAUCCCAGCAGAGUCAAGUGGGACCAUACUCCUGGACUCCUGACUUCCUGGAUGCUGCUAUUCUUUCUAUGCAGCUGUCUCACCCUUGUCAUAAUGGGAAACUCAGGGCAUAACAUUCCACUUAACUGCAACUUGGCUUCUCGAAAUACCUCUUCUCUUCUGUGCAAAGAUCAUGACUCGGUUCUUCCUUCUUCUGUGGACCGUAACAAGCCAUUCAGCCAGUCAAGCAAGUCCCAUGGGAAAUCCCCAUUUUGGCCAACAGAGACAGUUCCUCUUUAUCUCCCAAGAACACUACCCUUUUGCUCCCCUUUCCAGGUAGUCAAACAGCUGACUGUUCAUCAGCAGGCUAGCAGCUGAGCCCGGGGCUUUGAGGGACAGAUGACAGCUGGAUGGCUGACCAGCUUGCAGAGAAAGCUUGAAAUCUUGGGCACACAGGGAAUGGAGCAAGAGAUUUUCCCAUUUGGACAUACCAAAGGAUAAGUUCUCUUUGAGAGAUUGGUGAGGAGUGAGAUGGGGUAGAAUUCCAGGAAAAGGGAAUGAAGUUUGUUUCUCAGGCAAACAUGCCAUCAGCAAGGUAUGGGCUCUAGGCUGAGCUGACAGCAGCAGACAGGGCUUGAUGAGCGUGACUUCCAGCCUGCAGAGAGAGCUGCAUUCCUGCAAGAAGGGAGCAAAUGGCCCCAGAGCAGCUGUAGGCACCAAUGUCCCAGGAAAGAAGCAUUCCGGGGCCAGGAAGAUCCUGCCAAUACUUCACUUAUAUCAUAAUAUUUAAUUCUUAGCCAUUUGUGGAUGUCAGUACAUUAUUAUUGCUUUUUUUCUGUUUUUUUUUUCUUCUUGUAUUAUUAUACUUUAAGUUCUAGGGUACAUGUGCACAACGUGCAGGUUUGUUACAUAUGUAUACAUGUGCCAUGUUGGUACGCUGCACCCAUUACCUCAUCAUUUACAUUAGGUAUAUCUCCUAAUGCUUUCCCUCCCCCCUCCCCCCACCCCACAAUAGGCCCUGGUAUGUGAUGUUCCCCUUCCUGUGUCCAAGUGUUCUCAUUGUUCAAUUCUACAGAAUGGGAGAAAAUUUUUGCAAUCUAUUCAUCUGACAAAGGGCUAAUAUCCAGAAUCCAUUAUUGCUUCUUUACAAAUGGAGAAACAGGCUCAGAGGAGUUCCACUAGCUGGUCACACAGCUGGUGAAGGGCAGAUAUAGGGCUCAAGCCUAGGUCUUGUGUACUUGAUGGUCAAAGUUCUCAUCAGUGCACUCUAUUUCCUCAUGGUCAUGGUAAAAAAGUAAAAAUUAGGAGCAGUACUUUAGGACUCAGUAGCUCAGAUGCCCCGUUUUAUAGCAAAACAACUAUUUUACUGGAGAAAAUGACAAAUAUUAAUUCAUUUAAAUCUCUGGAAAUUGUCCUAAGGGCACACAGCAAAUGGAGAAACAUUCAUUUAAUAAAAUCUACUAAAUUUUGGUAAAAACAGUGAGGGAGGGUCCAUGGCAUUUGAACCAUGACCCACUCCCCUACCCUCUCUCAGCUCUGCCUUAUGGAAACUCUGCUCUAGGGUCUUUACUCUGGGCAGGUGUGGUCAAGAACACAGGGGCUUCCUCUCCCUGUAGCCCUCAGUCUAGGCUAUAAUUUCACUCCAGGAGGGGCAAGAUGCUGGUGUGUCUCAUCCCACUUGGCCCUGUGUUGCAGAAGCUCUAUUCUAGGGAGGCACGGCCAAGAUAACUUAGGUUUACUUUCUCUUCUGAGCACCGAGUCAUUUAGCAGAAGCUCUAUUACAGGAGCAACAGACUGAGAAUACUGGAGCCUUGAUUACUCACCCUAACUCACUCCUAGGGCAGAGGUUUCACACUGAAAGGGGCAAGCUGAGAAUACCAGGGGCCACUUCCCCUAGAACCUACUUGUAGAGCAGAGGUUCCCCUAGUACCUACUUGUAGAGCAGAGGUGCCUCUUCAGGGAAGCAGGUAGUUCCCACUCCCAGCUCCUGUGCAGUGCUGCAGACAUUCUACCCGGGGAGAAAGCAGACAGUAAGAAUGAAGAGCUUAUAGCUCUGCCUGAGAGGAAGGAUUUUGUUCAGGACAGGAUGUGGAUAAUUCUGUGCAACAUACUGUUAUUGAAAACAAUGAAUAGCUUGGGGAGAGCAAUUAAAAGUGCUCGUAACUCCGUGAAACUGGUAGCAAAAAACAAAAGGGCAGGACACCCAGAAAUUUAACAAAUAACUGGGAAAAGAGACAGCCAAGAUCCCAAGAGCCCUCUUGGCAUCACAGUCAAUUCUGGGAAUUGGGAAGCCUGGGCAAAUACUAGGCUGUACCCACUCAGGAGCAAUCAGAGCAGAAUGUGGGGCAACUUGAAAACACUCCCCAAUUUACACACAAAUCCACACACAAAAAAAGUAUAGAUGCCUCACUGGCACGAGGGGCUUAAGCACAUGCUCUGACCAAACCCUAGACUGGGGCAACUCCUAGAAAGCUAGGCCAAAAAAAUAAAAUCACAUACAUCUCAGGCAGUCUAGAUCACAGUUUUGUAGGCUCAAGAUUGUGCCCUCUUAGAAGUGAUCAGAGAAGAAACAUCCAAGCUACUGGUCCCUAGAUGAAUGUAGGAAUAAAUGUAACCUCUUUGAAUUUUGGUAGAGGCCUCCAAGCCUUAUGCCCCUAGUUAGAUACUUACUUAAGAGGUAAGUGUCUUACUGGUUAAGGGGUCUUAACCACAACUUUUGACCAGUAAAUGGCUUAUGCUGACCCAGAAGAAAUUCUGAGGUAACCAGUCUAAAAGAUAAGGACAGGGAGCAGGGACAUCAGAAGCCAAACAUUGGGGAAAAAGUGACUGACUUCAUAGAAUUAGCCCAUACCAGUCAAUAAACAAACAAAUGAAUAAACAAACAAUAACAAGAGACCAGGUGAAAAAGGAGGGAGAAUCAGUAUCCAGAACUGAUACCAAUUAUGUUCUAAAAUGUUUAAAUGAGAGAGUGUGAUCCACAGGGAAAAUUGCAAGCAAUAGACACAACUUUUGAGGGGGCCCAGAUGUUGAACUUAGCUGAUAAAGACAUCAAAGCAGCUGUUAUAAAUAUGUUCAAAGAACUAAAGGAAACUACAUUUAAAGAAUGAAAUAAAAGUAUGAUUAUAUCUUAUGAAAUAAAAGAGAUAUAAAUUAUUUUUAAAACAGACCAAAUGGAAAUUCUAGAUUUGAAAAUUACAAUAAUGAAAUUAAAACUUCUCAACAGUAGAUUUGAGAUAGCAGAUGAAAGAAUUAGCAAACUUGAAGAUAAGUUGACAGAGAUUAUGCAACCUCAAUGACAGUAAAAAGAAUGAAGAAAAAGGAACACAGCAUCAAACUAAUGUGGGACACUAUUAAGCACACCAACAUAUCCAUAAUGGAAGUAUUAGAAGGAGAGGAGAGAAAAAAGGAGAAGAAUAAAUAUUCUAAGAAAUAAUGGUUGAAAAAUUCCCAAGUCAGAUGAAAAACAUUAAUAUGAACAUCAAAGAAACUCAAUUAAUUUCAAGAAUAAAUGCAGAGACCUACAUUCAGACACAUUUUCGUAAAAAUGUUGAAAGACAAAGACAAAGAGAAAAUCUUGAAAGCAGUAAGAGAAAAAUGACUCAGCACACAUAAGGGGACCCCAGUGAGAAUAACAGCUGACUUUUCAUCAAAAACAAUGGAGACCAGAAGGCAGUGUGAAGACAAUCAGAGUGCUGAAAGUAAAAACAAAAACAGAAACUGUUGACCAAGAAUAGUAUAUCUAGCAAAACUCUUUCAGAAACAAAGGUGAAAUAAAGAUAUUCCCAGGCAAACAAAACCUGAAAGAGUUUGUUGCUAUCAGACAUAUCCACCUAAUAAGAAAUACUAAAGAAAGCUCUUCAGGCAAUGACAAUAGCAGCACAAAGGAGACAGGUGGAAGCAAAACUACAUUGCAGAAAUGAAAUGAAACCAGAUGGUAACUUGAACUCAAAGAAGGAUAUGAAGAGAACUAGAAAUGGCAAAUAAAAAGGUUAAUAUAAGAAGUGAAAAAUAUAUACUCCUUUCUUCUUUCAGCUUCUUUAUAAGACUUGAUUGUAAAAAGUAAUAAUGACAACAAUGUGUUACUGGGUUUGUAAUAUUUAUGGAUCUAAUAUAUAUUAGUAGUACUAUAGAAAAUUGGGGACAGAAUGGAGCUAUACAGGAGUAAGGUUUUUAUA
rnacentral:lncRNA from 1 species